CCAAUAGCGUAUAUUAGUGUUGUUGCGGUUAAAAAGCUCGUAGUUGAAUUUCGGGAUUGGGAUAUAUCGGUCAUGACUUUAGGGACAUGAAUCGGUGUGUGAUGAAUUCUCACCUUCUGGUGAAUUGGGAUGCUCUUGGGUGUUUCGAUGAACUAGGACAUUUACUUUGAAAAAAUUAGAGUGUUUAAAGCGGGCAUUUUUGCUUGAAUACAUUAGCAUGGAAUAAUAAAAUAGGACGGCAUGAUUCUAUUUUGUUGGUUUCUAGGAUCACCGUAAUGAUUAAUAGGGAUAGUUGGGGGCAUUAGUAUUCAAUUGUCAGAGGUGAAAUUCUUGGAUUUAUUGAAGACUAACUACUGCGAAAGCAUUUGCCAAGGAUGUUUUCAUUAAUCAAGAACGAAAGUUAGGGGAUCGAAGACGAUCAGAUACCGUCGUAGUCUUAACCAUAAACUAUGCCGACUAGGAAUCAGACGAUGUUAAUUUUUUAAUGACUCGUUUGGCACCUUACG
rnacentral:rRNA from 1 species